GACAGAGGGUGCAAACGUUGCUCGGAAUCACUGGGCGUAAAGGGCGUGUAGGCGGGAAGGAAAGUCGGGCGUGAAAUCCCUGGGCUCACCCAGGAACUGCACUCGAAACUUCUUUUCUUGAGUGCCGGAGAGGAAAGCGGAAUACCUGGUGUAGAGGUGAAAUUCGUAGAUAUCAGGUGGAACACCAGUGGCGAAGGCGGCUUUCUGGACGGUAACUGACGCUGGAGAACGCGAAAAGCGUGGGGAGCAAACAGG
rnacentral:rRNA from 1 species